rnacentral:lncRNA from 1 species
AUGGGCGUUGAGCUGUGCCUGACACCACGUGGGCACACGGGUGCACACACAUGCACAGGCACACAUGCAUGGAUGGGUACCCCCAGAUGGGCACACACAUGCACAAAUACACAUGCAUGCACGUGGGCACACACGCAUGCAUGGGCAUACACAUGCAUGUGCACGGAUACACAUGCAUGGGCACACACAUGCAUGCAGGGCACCCACGUAUGCACAUGCACAAACACACAUGCACACAUGGGCACAGGUAGACAUGGGCACACAUGCACACAUGCAGGCAUGGGUACCCCCAGACACACAUGCACACCCAUGCACAAAUACACAUGCACACACGGGCACACACAUGCAUGCAGGGCACCCACGUAUGCACAUGCAGAAACACACAUGCACACAGGCACAGGUAGACACGCACGCAUGGGCACACAUGCACGCACAUGCACAAAUACACAAGGCACACACGGGCACACACAUGCACACAUGGGCACACACGGGCACACACAUGCACACACGGGCACACGCACACUCACACUUGGGGGUCACUGCCGUUCUGUCUGGCCUCCCCCCGUCUUUGUCCUCGGGAUUCCCUGUGCCCCCCAUAGCCGUCCACACGCACCUCUCGCAGGCAGAGUGCCAGCUCCAUCUUGCUCCCCGUCUCUCCAUCCCUGGUCUCUCCUGUGGUUUCGUCUGAGGUCCCCAGCUCUGACCCCCUCCUCUCGGGAAGUGCGCCCCCAGCCACCCCAGGCACCCUCAGCGGGCUCUCUCCUGUGGUUUCCUCUGAGGUCCCCAGCUCUGACCCCCUCCUCUCGGGAAGUGCGCCCCCGGCCACCCCAGGUACCCUCAGUGGGCUCUCUCCUGUGGUUUCGUCUGAGGUCCCCAGCUCUGACCCCCUCCUCUCGGGAAGUGCACCCCCGGCCACCCCAGGCACCCUCAGUGGGCUCUCUCCUGUGGUUUCCUCUGAGGUCCCCAGCUCUGACCCCCUCCUCUCAGGAAGUGCGCCCCUGGCCACCCCAGGCACCCUCAGUGGGCUCUCUCCUGUGGUUUCCUCUGAGGUCCCCAGCUCUGACCCCCUCCUCUCGGGAAGUGCACCCCCGGCCACCCCAGGCACCCUCAGCGGGCUCCUCCCAUGCACGUCCUGCAGAACCCUCCACAGCCCUCGGCGCUGAGUGCUUGACCGUGCUUUCUGGGUUUUUUUUCUACUUAAUUUUUUUUCAGAUCACUUAUUUUUAA